rnacentral:rRNA from 1 species
CGAACGCUGGCGGCGUGCCUAACACAUGCAAGUCAACGGGGAUUUGUUUCGGCAGAAUCCUAGUGGCGAACGGGUGAGUAACGCGUAGGCAACCUGCCCUCCGGCCGGGGACAACACUCCGAAAGGGGUGCUAAUACCGGAUACGAAGUCUGUGCCGCAUGGUACGGAUUUGAAAGAUGGCCUCUAUUUAUAAGCUAUCGCCGGGGGAUGGGCCUGCGUCCGAUUAGCUGGUUGGUGGGGUAACGGCCUACCAAGGCGACGAUCGGUAGCCGGUCUGAGAGGAUGAACGGCCACAUUGGGACUGAGACACGGCCCAGACUCCUACGGGAGGCAGCAGUGGGGAAUCUUCCGCAAUGGGCGCAAGCCUGACGGAGCAACGCCGCGUGAGUGAGGAAGUUCUUCGGAACGUAAAGCUCUGUUGUUCCUGACGAACCUCCCUUCUAUCAACAACGGAGGGGACUGACGGUAGGGAACGAGGAAGCCACGGCUAACUACGUGCCAGCCGCCGC